UGGCAAUGAUGAUUAGAAUAGAAAUCCAACUCGGACGAUGCGUGACGAGUCGAAUUUUGAGCUUUUUAACCCUGAUUGCCAU
rnacentral:snoRNA from 1 species